rnacentral:rRNA from 1 species
AGUGAACGCUGGCGGUAGGCCUAACACAUGCAAGUCGAACGGCAGCACAGGAGAGCUUGCUCUCUGGGUGGCGAGUGGCGGACGGGUGAGGAAUACAUCGGAAUCUACUCUGUCGUGGGGGAUAACGUAGGGAAACUUACGCUAAUACCGCAUACGACCUACGGGUGAAAGCAGGGGACCUUCGGGCCUUGCGCGAUUGAAUGAGCCGAUGUCGGAUUAGCUAGUUGGCGGGGUAAAGGCCCACCAAGGCGACGAUCCGUAGCUGGUCUGAGAGGAUGAGCGGCCACACUGGAACUGAAACACGGUCCAGACUCCUACGGGAGGCAGCAGUGGGGAAUAUUGGACAAUGGGCGCAAGCCUGAUCCAGCCAUACCGCGUGGGUGAAGAAGGCCUUCGGGUUGUAAAGCCCUUUUGUUGGGAAAGAAAUCCAGCUGGCUAAUACCCGGUUGGGAUGACGGUACCCAAAGAAUAAGCACCGGCUAACUUCGUGCCAGCCGCCGCCGUAA